rnacentral:rRNA from 1 species
GACGAACGCUGGCGGCGUGCUUAACACAUGCAAGUCGAGCGAUGAAGUUCCUUCGGGAAUGGAUUAGCGGCGGACGGGUGAGUAACACGUGGGUAACCUGCCUCAUAGAGGGGAAUAGCCUUUCGAAAGGAAGAUUAAUACCGCAUAAGAUUGUAGCUUCGCAUGAAGUAGCAAUUAAAGGAGUAAUCCGCUAUGAGAUGGACCCGCGUCGCAUUAGCUAGUUGGUGAGGUAACGGCUCACCAAGGCGACGAUGCGUAGCCGACCUGAGAGGGUGAUCGGCCACAUUGGGACUGAGACACGGCCCAGACUCCUACGGGAGGCAGUAGUGGGGAAUAUUGCACAAUGGGGGAAACCCUGAUGCAGCAACGCCGCGUGAGUGAUGACGGUCUUCGGAUUGUAAAGCUCUGUCUUCAGGGACGAUAAUGACGGUACCUGAGGAGGAAGCCCCGGCUAACUUCGUGCCAGCCGCCGCGGUAA